UGCAGGGCCUUGGAACCACUUCUGCCUCC
rnacentral:piRNA from 1 species